CCUACGGGCGGCAGCAGUGAGGAAUAUUGGUCAAUGGACGCAAGUCUGAACCAGCCAUGCCGCGUGCAGGAAGACGGCUCUAUGAGUUGUAAACUGCUUUUGUACGAGGGUAAACGCAGAUACGCGUAUCUGUCUGAAAGUAUCUUACGAAUAAGCACCGGCUAACUACGUGCCAGCGGCCGCGGUAAUACGUAGGGUGCGAGCGUUACCCGGAUUUAUUGGGUUUAAAGGGUGCGUAGGCGGACUGUUAAGUCAGCGGUAAAAGCCCGGGGCUAAACCCAGAGUAGCCGUUGACACUGGCUGUCUUGAGAUGUCGAAAGGUAUGCGGAAUGCGCAGUGUAGCGGUGAAAUGCUUAGAUAUUGCGCAGAACUCCGAUUGCGAAGGCAGCAUACCGGCGGCGAUCUGACGCUGAGGCACGAAAGCGUGGGUAUCGAACAGGAUUAGAUACCCUUGUAGUC
rnacentral:rRNA from 1 species